rnacentral:rRNA from 1 species
AACGAACGCUGGCGGCAGGCCUAACACAUGCAAGUCGAGCGAGGACUUCGGUCCUAGCGGCGGACGGGUGAGUAACGCGUGGGAACGUGCCCUUUGCUUCGGAAUAGCCCUGGGAAACUGGGAGUAAUACCGGAUGAGCCCUUUGGGGGAAAGAUUUAUCGGCGAAGGAUCGGCCCGCGUUGGAUUAGGUAGUUGGUGGGGUAAUGGCCUACCAAGCCGACGAUCCAUAGCUGGUUUGAGAGGAUGAUCAGCCACACUGGGACUGAGACACGGCCCAGACUCCUACGGGAGGCAGCAGUGGGGAAUCUUAGACAAUAGGGGAAACCCUGAUCUAGCCAUGCCGCGUGAGCGAUGAAGGCCUUAGGGUUGUAAAGCUCUUUCAGCUGGGAAGAUAAUGACGGUACCAGCAGAAGAAGCCCCGGCUAACUCCGUG